AUUCCCGUUGAUCCUGCGGGAGGUUGCUGCUAUUAGGGUUCGACUAAGCCAUGCAAGUCAGGUAGCAAUACCGGCAUAACGCUCAGUAACACGUCAAUAAUCUGCCCUUAAGUCUAGGAUAACCUUGGGAAACUGAGGCUAAGACUGGAUAUGGGAAAAUAUCUGGAAUGAUAUUUCCUUCAAAGGUAACGCUUAAGGAUGAGUUGGCGGUUGAUUAGGUUGUUGGUGGGGUAAAGGCCCACCAAGCCUACGAUCAGUAGGGGCCUCGAGAGAGGGAGCCCCGAGAAGGGCACUGAGAUACUGGCCCUAGCCCCACGGGGUGCAGCAGGCGCGAAACCUUUACAAUAUACGAAAGUGUGAUAAGGGAACCCUAAGUGCUUAGCUUAUGCUAGGCUUUUGCCAAGAGUAAAUAUCUUGGCGAAUAAGUGGUGGGAAAGACUGGUGCCAGCCGCCGCGGUAACACCAGCGCCACAAGUGGCAACUGUGAUUAUUGGGCCUAAAGCGUCCGUAGCCGGAUCUAUAAAUCUUUUGUGAAAUCGUUGAGCUCAACUUAACGGACUGCAGAAGAGACUGUAGAUCUUGGAACCGGGAGGAGUCAGAAGUAUUUCUGGGGGAGCGGUAAAAUGUUAUAAUCCCAGAAAGACUACCUGUGGUGAAGACGUCUGACUAGAACGGAUUCGACGGUGAGGGACGAAAGCUAGGGGAGCAAUCCGGAUUAGAUACCCGAGUAGUCCUAGCUGUAAACGCUGCGAGCAAGGUGUUACAUAUUCUUCGAGAAUGUGUUGUGUCGAAACGAAGGUGCUAAGCUCGCCGCCUGGGGAGUAUGGUCGCAAGACUGAAACUUAAAGGAAUUGGCGGGGGAGCACUACAAGGGGUGCGGCGUGCGGUUUAAUCUAAUUCAACGCAGAGAAUCUCACCAGAGGCGACGGCAGGAUGAAGGUCAGUCUAAAGGGCUUACCUGACGAGCCGAGAGGUAGUGCAUGGCCGCCGUCAGCUCGUGCCGUAAGGUGUCCUGUUAAGUCAGGUAACGAGCGAGACCUGUGCUUACAAUUGCUAACAGCAAAAUUUUUGGACUGAGCACAUUGUAAGGACUGCCAUGGAAACGUGGAGGAAGGUGCAGGCAACGGUAGGUCUGUAUGCUCCGAAUCCUCUGGGCUACACGCGCGCAACAAUGGUAUGGACAAUGGGAUACAACUCCGAAAGGAGAAGUUAAUCCUCGAAACCAUAUCUCAGUCCAGAUUGAGGUUUGUAAUUUAGCCUCAUGACGUUGGAAUCCCUAGUAAUCGGAUUUUAUCAUAGUCCGGUGAAUAUGUCCCUGCUCCUUGCACACACCGCCCGUCAAACCACCCGAGUAGGGUUUAGAUGAGGCCUAGUUUUUAACUAGUUCGAAUCUAAGCUCAGCGAGGAGGGUUAAGUCGUCACAAGGUAGCCGUAGGGGAACCUGCGGCUGGAUCACCUCCU
rnacentral:rRNA from 1 species